AUUCGUUUUUCGAGUCUGAAAAUAUUCGUACUGCGGGAAGAAGUUCCCCAGAAAAUUAAUCCAUAUGUUAUAACUGAAUAAAAAUAAGCAUGAUAGAUUAUCUUUAGGCAAUUUAAUGAUAAGAAAGGGCUGAUUGCUCUUGCAAUAUAACACGCUUUGUUUAAUUUGGAAGCCAACAUAUCGAUGUGACUUUACAGGACAUAGUAUUAUGAAAUACUAACUAAAAACUUUUGUUCCGUAGUAUUGGAAAUAAUUUUGUUGUUAUAUUUAAUUUGUAUUUCGGAAUUAAUAAUAUAUUUAGAGUGGAAUCCCAUACAAUAGGUUUUGUUCAGAUUUAGUGAGACUAAAUUUGCCUUAAACCAUGUUCCCAGAGCCGUUCCAGUGGAUGUCACAGUAUGUGUAAUGGCGGAUAUAAUGCGAACAGCAGGAAAUUGCACAGGCGGCUGAGUUGAGAACGUAAUAUUAAGUUAUUUGUUAAUUACUGUUGAUCUUAUUGGACUCGAUAUUUCGUUAUGCAACUAAAGUGUUUUUGUUGUGUAUGAGAUCACCUGAUGGUGACCUUCAUUCUUUUUAUAAAAGAUUUGAAAAUAGUAAAUGAAAAAGUGCAAUUAAAAAGAAAAAGAGUAAUUUUAUGUGGGGACUGGAAUUUUGGAAGUGUGUGUACAACUACAAUUAAAAAAACUUGCUGCUGUUAUAUAAUUUGGUAAAUACAGUAACUUCUCCAACUAGAAUUACAAAGAAAUCAUUUACAUUGAUCACUGCCAUCAUAAUAAACAAGUAAUUUUAUGAGUGAAUGAAGAUAAAUAUGAUUAAUGUUCCACACAAUUCUAAACUCCAAUAAGAUUCUGUCACGGAAAUGCCGAAUAAGCACUGGCUUCUGGAACAUUUCAACUCCAAGGAAAGGCAGAUGUUGGUAUACUGAGGAAGAGCUGGAUCUAAAGCUUGGAACAGGAUUUUCCUACGUGUCCCAGAUUGUAGCUGAUGACAAAAUAUUCAAUACUAGAGUUUUGAGACCUGUGCAUGCAGUUGUAACAUGACUUACUUUGCUGCUGGUCUGCAAGUGCUUGCUAUCAAUGUCACCUUCUCCAAGUCAUCUCAUAUACAAGGAUACUUACAUCAAUGGUUGCUACAAACAUUAUGCAAUUCAAGAUGUGUUCUCUGCUGACAUUCAGGAGCCAUUUACACUGCAUGAAUAGCCAUCAAUAAACAAACCUGUCUCUCUCCAUAUACAGGGGAUGGGCAAAAAUAUGGAAAAACCUCGUGAAAUGCAUGCCUGAAUUGAAGUGUUUUAGUGAUGUUUAUAGGUCACGCUGUCAUAUCUGCCCAACACCACUACUUGUACAAC